rnacentral:rRNA from 1 species
UACAGAGGGGGCAAGCGUUAUUCGGAAUUAUUGGGCGUAAAGGGCGCGUAGGCGGCCUGGCAAGUGGAAGGUGAAAUCCCACGGCUCAACCGUGGAACUGCCUUAGAUACUGACGGCCUCGAGGGAGAUAGGGGCGAGCGGAACUGUGAGUGGAGCGGUGAAAUGCGUUGAUAUUCACAGGAACUCCGGUGGCGAAGGCGGUGGUCUGGGCCGGCACUGACGCUGAGGAGCGAAAGCGUGGGUAGCAAACAGG